GGGAAAGUGGCUCAGUGGUAGAGAGCUUGCCUUGCAUGCAUGAGGCCCUGGGUUCAAUUCCUCAGCACCA
rfam:Dipodomys ordii contig_4120, whole genome shotgun sequence.